rnacentral:misc_RNA from 1 species
AACGCACCUUGCGCUCCUUGGUAUUCCGAGGAGCAUGCCUGUUUGAGUGUCAUUAAAUUCUCAACCUUAUCAGUUUAUUUCUGAUAGUGGCUUGGAUGUGGGGUUGCUGGCUUGGUCAGCUCCCCUUAAAUGCAUUAGCUGGUGCCCUGUGUACUUGGUGUGAUAAUUAUCUACGCCAUGGAUUAGCACUGCUUCUAACCGUCUGUUAAUUCGGACAAUAGAUGUCAAUUUGACCUCAAAUCAGGUAGGACUACCCGCUGAACUUAA